UGGAUUCAUUUGGAGUUUCAGACAUGAUCAAAUUCUUGUUAACAUUUGGUGCCGGGGUGUACACCGGGAUAUAUAUCACGCAAAAUUUUGAGCAGGUCCCACGGGUGGAUGAGCCAGCCAAACUGUGGGAAAAAACCUCUGAAACGGUGAAGGACUUCCUGGAUCAACAUAAGAAACCUUAAACGUAGAAGUUGGAAGAGGC